AGAGUUUGAUCAUGGCUCAGAUUGUACGCUGGCGGCAGGCUUCACACAUGCAAGUCGAACGGUAACAGGGAGAAAGCUUGCUUUCUUUGCUGACGAGUGGCGGACGGGUGAGUAAUGCUUGGGAAUCUGGCUUAUGGAGGGGGAUAACUACGGGAAACUGUAGCUAAUACCGCGUAGAAUCGGAAGAUGAAAGUGUGGGACCGCAAGGCCACAUGCCAUGGGAUGAGCCCAAGUGGGAUUAGGUAGUUGGUUAGGUUAAGUGUCUGACCAUAGCCGAUCGAUCUUUAGCUGGUCUGAGAGGAUGACCAGCCACACUGGAACUGAGACACGGUCCAGACUCCUACGGGAGGCAGCAGUGGGGAAUAUUGCACAAUGGGGGGAACCCUGAUGCAGCCAUGCCGCGUGAAUGAAGAAGGCCUUCGGGUUGUAAAGUUCUUUCGGUGACGAGGAAGGCAGCUACUUUAAUAGAGUGGUUGAUUGACGUUAGUCACAGAAGAAGCACCGGCUAACUCCGUGCCAGCAGCCGCGGUAAUACGGAGGGUGCGAGCGUUAAUCGGAAUAACUGGGCGUAAAGGGCACGCAGGCGGUGAUUUAAGUGAGAUGUGAAAGCCCCGGGCUUAACCUGGGAAUUGCAUUUCAUACUGGGUCGCUAGAGUACUUUAGGGAGGGGUAGAAUUCCACGCGUAGCGGUGAAAUGCGUAGAGAUGUGGAGGAAUGCCGAAGGCGAAGGCAGCCCCUUGGGAAUGUACUGACGCUCAUGUGCGAAAGCGUGGGGAGCAAACAGGAUUAGAUACCCUGGUAGUCCACGCUGUAAACGCUGUCGAUUUGGGGAUUGGGCUUUAAAGCUUGGUGCCCGUAGCU
rnacentral:rRNA from 1 species